AGGACGAACGCUGGCGGCGUGCUUAACACAUGCAAGUCGAGCGGAAAGGCCCUUCGGGGUACUCGAGCGGCGAACGGGUGAGUAACACGUGAGCAACCUGCCCUUAGCUCUGGGAUAGCUCCGGGAAACCGGAAUUAAUACCGGAUAUGACCUAGGCCGACAUCGGCCGUGGUGGAAAGGAUUCCGGCUAGGGAUGGGCUCGCGGCCUAUCAGCUUGUUGGUGGGGUAACGCCUACCAAGGCGACGACGGGUA
rnacentral:rRNA from 1 species